rnacentral:misc_RNA from 1 species
GAUGAAGAACGUAGCGAAAUGCGAUAAGUAGUGUGAAUUGCAGAAUUCAGUGAAUCAUCGAAUCUUUGAACGCACCUUGCGCCCUUUGGCUAUUCCGAAGGGCAUGCCUGUUUGAGUAUCAUGAACACCUCAACUCUCAUGGUUUUUCCAUGAUGGGCUUGGACUUUGGGGGUCUUGCUGGCCUAUAGUCAGCUCCUCUUAAUGAAUCAGCUUGCCAGUGUUUGGUGGCAUCACAGGUGUGAUAACUAUCUACGCUUGUGGUUUUCCAUCAAGUCACCUUCAGCGAUGGAGGUUCGCUGGGGCUCAUAAAGAAGGCCUCUCCUCGGUGAGGAUGGCUCCUUUGAACGUUUGAUCUCAAAUCAGGUAGGACUACCCGCUGAACUUAAGCAUAUCAAUAAGCGGAGGA